UGCGCGAGUAAAAAAGUAGUUUUUUCCAAAGUGCGGAUAAGAUAGGGCGUCUCGAGAUGCUCUCACACAAAGCCCAUGGCGCAAGAAUUGGAUCCGCACCUCCUGUACACACUGCCGUCACACAAAGCCCAUCGAGCAAGAAUUGGAUCCGCACAUCUCUCUCACAACCACGUGGACAAGGACGCAUGCCGGAGCAGCGGGCUCGUCGUGACUAUCGACGGCGCCGUGUUCGCGGCCGACUCGGCCGUCCACGCCGUCGGGCUUCUCGUCACCGUGCUCCGGAAGGUGGGCGCAGCCCACGCGUACGUCCGCAGCGGCAGGUGGAAGACCAACGCCCGACGGCAUGUACCCUCUCGGCUCUCGCCACCAAGGUGAGCGGCAAGCGGGUGUGGAUCGUGGGGCUGGGCAAUAUCGGCUCCAGCUCGCGGCCUUCGGCUGCGCUGUCUCCUCUCGCCGCCUUCGGCGCUGCCGGACCUCGCCGCAGGCAGCAACGUGUUGGUGCUCCCCUACGCGCAGACCGACGAAACCAAGCACAUGGUAAACUGGGAGGUGAAAUAGGCAACACGACUUGAGAUUUAGAGAUAAAGGCUGAGCACCGAGGAAACAGGACUUGAAAAGGCACAUGCAUAUUUUAGAAGUCUAAUUGAACUUUAAUGUUAUAUCCGAUCUUCUCAAGCAUCUCCAUAAUUUUUCCAUACCACUUUGACACAAUUUCCUGAUUCCAGUUAACGCUUUAACUGUUUGUUAGUGACCAUAAUGGAAUUUACUUCAUAUAUGAUACAAAAUUUUGGUGCUCCUGUAAUUCGACCUGUUAGAGAGAGGUUGUAGCAUACUCAUUUGUUGGGUUUAGUUACAUAAGAUAGACUAGAUACAUUUAAUAGUGCACCAUAUUUUUUGUUCAAUUGGACAAUGAAUAUCAAUGUUUCAUUUCCUUGGUGAAAAAUACUAUUUUGGUGCUGCUAAGUUUUCGCCCCAUAGCAUUCGUUUCGAUGACGGGCGGAUGCAGUGUGUUUCCUAGUAUUGCAUUGAACUCGCUUUCGCCCUACCCCUCUCGUUUCUCCUGAUACUACGUAAGACUGAUGUAUUUCCGUUCUCUAUAAUGGAAAGGGGGUUACCGGUUCAAAAAAAAAUCCUUGGUGAAAAACAUAAGUACUAUGUUCUCAGUUUUACCAUUCUUGGAUACUACUCCUACUAAGGGAAGGCUCUCUUUUGAUGUAUCAAAUUCCAUAGUUAUCAAACUGUAUUUUAUAAUAGCAAUCACAUCUUAGGC